GUCGCUUUGCAGCAACCUGGGCCUGGUGUUGUCUUUGCAAGGAAUCAUUAGCACUGGAAAUCAAAGAUUGGGCUCCACCAACAGCAGCAACUGAGGUGACAGCUGACUUCUCCUUUUNCGAUGAUCCAAUUGCAGCAUUGGCUGCAACUGCCCCAAAGUGGGGCCCAGCAGAACCACUAGAAAAUUCCCCAGAUUUUGAUGAUAAUGGUGACUGAGGCAAAGCCCCAGCAGAUAACCGGGGACUUUGCACUGUUUUCCUCUUCUGGAGUUGGUCCUCCUUCCUUGAAUCUUGGCUGAGAUUGUUCCGCUGCCUGAGGGAAAUUUGAUCUCAUAAGAUGAGCUGGUAAUCUUUGCUGUAGUCGUGAUUGUUGUGGGUCCAGAUGGCCUGUUUCUGUCUCCAUUAUAUCAUUUUUACCCUGACUGAGCUCUGGGCCAUCCAGCUUUUCCGUUUCAAACUGUUCUUCCUUGGGACCAAAUCUUACACCUGACUGUGCAGCAGAAAAAGAUGUUGGCGCAGGAUUUUGAUUCAUAACCCCUUCAAACAUCU
rnacentral:misc_RNA from 1 species